rnacentral:rRNA from 1 species
UACGUAGGGGGGCAAGCGUUGUCCGGAUUUAUUGGGCGUAAAGAGCGUGUAGGCGGCCAGGUAGGUCAGCUGUGAAAACUCGAGGCUCAACCUCGAGACGUCGGUUGAAACCACCUGGCUAGAGUCCGGAAGAGGAGAGUGGAAUUCCUGGUGUAGCGGUGAAAUGCGCAGAUAUCAGGAAGAACACCAAUGGCGAAAGCAGCUCUCUGGGACGGUACUGACGCUGAGACGCGAAAGCGUGGGGAGCGAACAGG